AAGGCAGUCAGUUUAUUAAAGAAACAAGAGCUUUGCAGAUCACCAGCACUUCUAGGGGUACACUACUUGAUGCUCAGUUGUAGGUCCUGACAGCAGGUAUUUGCGGUUUGGGCCUUCACAACACACUUGCAGUGCUGUAAGGGCCUGCAACCAAGCACCAGAUUCUGCAGACAAGAAUUCCAGUAUCUACAAUUGAA
rnacentral:lncRNA from 11 species